rnacentral:rRNA from 1 species
CCUACGGGAGGCAGCAGUGGGGGAUAUUGCACAAUGGGGGAAACCCUGAUGCAGCGACGCCGCGUGAGUGAAGAAGUCUUUCUGUAUGUAAAGCUCUAUCAGCAGGGAAGUAAAUGACAGUACCUGACCAAUAAUCCCCGGCUAACUACGUUCCAGCAGCCGCGGUAAUACGUAGGGGGCAAGCGUUAUCCGGAUUUACGGGGUGUAAAGGGAGCGUAGACGGUUAUGUAAGUCUGGAGUGAAAGUCCGGGGCCCAACCCCGGGACUGCUUUGGAAACUGUGUAACUGGAGUACAGGAGGGGCAGGCGGAAUUCGGCGUGUAGCGGUGAAAUGCUUAGAUAUUAGGAGGAACACCAGUGGCGAAGGCGGCUUACUGGACUGUAACUGACGUUGAGGCUCGAAAGCGUGGGGAGCAAACAGGAUUAGAUACCCCUGUAGUC